CCUACGGGGGGCUGCAGUGGGGAAUAUUGGACAAUGGGGGGAACCCUGAUCCAGCCAUGCCGCGUGUGUGAAGAAGGCCCUCGGGUUGUAAAGCACUUUCAGUGAGGAAGAACGCCUGGUGGUUAAUACCCAUCAGGAAAGACAUCACUCACAGAAGAAGCACCGGCUAACUCCGUGCCAGCAGCCGCGGUAAUACGGAGGGUGCGAGCGUUAAUCGGAAUUACUGGGCGUAAAGCGCGCGUAGGUGGCUUGAUAAGCCGGUUGUGAAAGCCCCGGGCUCAACCUGGGAACGGCAUCCGGAACUGUCAAGCUAGAGUGCAGGAGAGGAAGGUAGAAUUCCCGGUGUAGCGAUGAAAUGCGUAGAGAUCGGGAGGAAUACCAGUGGCGAAGGCGGCCUUCUGGACUGACACUGACACUGAGGUGCGAAAGCGUGGGUAGCAAACAGGAUUAGAUACCCUAGUAGUC
rnacentral:rRNA from 1 species